rnacentral:rRNA from 1 species
GUGCCAGCCGCCGCGGUAAGACGUAGGGACCGAGCGUUGUCCGGAUUUAUUGGGCGUAAAGAGCUCGUAGGCGGUUGCGUAAGUCGGAUGUGAAAACUCGAGGCUCAACCUCGAGACGCCAUCCGAUACUGCGCUGACUCGAAUCCAGUAGGGGAGUGUGGAAUUCCUGGUGUAGCGGUGAAAUGCGCAGAUAUCAGGAGGAACACCUAUGGCGAAGGCAGCACUCUGGGCUGGUAUUGACGCUGAGGAGCGAAAGCAUGGGUAGCAAACAGGAUUAGAUACCCGCGUAGUCC